rnacentral:ribozyme from 1 species
AAUACUAGUGCGAGAUCAUCGCAGUCGUUGUGGAACUCCUCGUGGUGGUAAGAAAUUUGUCCAGCUACAAACCGAAAUUUUGGAUUGGGCGGAGAAAUUUCAAACCAAAACCUUU